UGGGGAAUUUUGGACAAUGGGCGAAAGCCUGAUCCAGCCAUGCCGCGUGAGUGAAGAAGGCCUUCGGGUUGUAAAGCUCUUUUAGUCGGAAAGAAAGAGUUGCAAUGAAUAAUUGUGAUUUAUGACGGUACCGACGGAAAAAGCACCGGCUAACUACGUGCCAGCAGCCGCGGUAAUACGUAGGGUGCGAGCGUUAAUCGGAAUUACUGGGCGUAAAGGGUGCGCAGGCGGUCUUGCAAGUCAGAUGCGAAAGCCCCGGGCUUAACCUGGGAAUUGCGUUUGAAACUACAAGGCUAGAGUGCAGCAGAGGGGAGUGGAAUUCCAUGUGUAGCAGUGAAAUGCGUAGAGAUGUGGAAGAACACCGAUGGCGAAGGCAGCUCCCUGGGUUGACACUGACGCUCAUGCACGAAAGCGUGGGGAGCAAACA
rnacentral:rRNA from 1 species